AAGAAGUAUAACUUCAAUAAAAAAGCAUAUCUAGUAAAAAAAAGUAAGUGCACUAGCCCACGCUAGGAUUUCCAGUGUCGUGGGCAGCUAGUCCCUUCCGUUGGACAUAGUAACGGCUAGCAUCAUGCUGUGCUAUGACUGCUGUUGUAUCCUGUAUCGUCACCACAUUGAUUUUUAUGCUGGGAAUUGGCGUCGGACUUGGCUACAACUAUUGAUAUUCAGCGUCAGUUCCCGGCGAAACUGGAUUAUUGGAUUAGAUAAAGAUACAGCAGAACUCACUUGCCAAUAGAAAUCAAUGAAACCGAAACAGAUGUGCCAGCUCUAUACCCCGAUUGAUGGCUAUUUGCAAAUUACUUAUUUUCAGAUGCAUUUGAUUCCUUUGAGGACCUCAUGGUAAUACCUGUAAAUGAUACAGAGUCUGACGACAGAUCAAGCAAGGGUUCGAGGAAGUCGUUCCAGCCCUUCGAUCUACCUAUUAAGAAGAAUGUGAAGA